AGAGUUUGAUCCUGGCUCAGGACGAACGCUGGCGGCGUGUUUAACACAUGCAAGUCGAACGGUAAGGCCCUUCGGGGUACACGAGUGGCGAACGGGUGAGUAACACGUGGGUGAUCUGCCCUGCACCUUGGGAUAAGCCUGGGAAACUGGGUCUAAUACCGGAUAGGACCAUGGACUUCACGGUUUGUGGUGGAAAGCUUUUGCGGUGUGGGAUGGGCCCGCGGCCUAUCAGCUUGUUGGUGGGGUAAUGGCCUACCAAGGCGACGACGGGUAGCCGGCCUGAGAGGGUGUCCGGCCACACUGGGACUGAGAUACGGCCCAGACUCCUACGGGAGGCAGCAGUGGGGAAUAUUGCACAAUGGGCGCAAGCCUGAUGCAGCGACGCCGCGUGGGGGAUGACGGCCUUCGGGUUGUAAACCUCUUUCAGUAGGGACGAAGCGCAAGUGACGGUACCUACAGAAGAAGCACCGGCCAACUACGUGCCAGCAGCCGCGGUAAUACGUAGGGUGCGAGCGUUGUCCGGAAUUACUGGGCGUAAAGAGCUCGUAGGUGGUUUGUCGCGUUGUUCGUGAAAUCUCACAACUCAAUUGUGAGCGUGCGGGCGAUACGGGCAGACUGGAGUACUGCAGGGGAGACUGGAAUUCCUGGUGUAGCGGUGGAAUGCGCAGAUAUCAGGAGGAACACCGGUGGCGAAGGCGGGUCUCUGGGCAGUAACUGACGCUGAGGAGCGAAAGCGUGGGGAGCGAACAGGAUUAGAUACCCUGGUAGUCCACGCCGUAAACGGUGGGUACUAGGUGUGGGUUUCCUUCCUUGGGAUCCGCGCCGCAGCUAACGCAUUAAGUGUCCCGCCUGGGGAGUACGGCCGCAAGGCUAAAACUCAAAG
rnacentral:rRNA from 1 species